rnacentral:rRNA from 3 species
CAGUGAUAAACUGGAGGAAGGUGGGGAUGACGUCAAGUCAUCAUGGCCCUUACGACCAGGGCUACACACGUGCUACAAUGGCGCAUACAAAGAGAAGCGACCUCGCGAGAGCAAGCGGACCUCAUAAAGUGCGUCGUAGUCCGGAUUGGAGUCUGCAACUCGACUCCAUGAAGUCGGAAUCGCUAGUAAUCGUGGAUCAGAAUGCCACGGUGAAUACGUUCCCGGGCCUUGUACACACCGCCCGUCACACCAUGGGAGUGGGUUGCAAAAGAAGUAGGUAGCUUAACCUUCGGGAGGGCGCUUACCACUUUGUGAUUCAUGACUGGGGUGAAGUCGUAACAAGGUAACCGUAGGGGAACCUGCGGUUGGAUCACCUCCUUACCUUAAAGA